GGAAAAAUAAAAGAGAAAAACAUGGCAGAUGGAACCCUUCACCCAUCCUCCUUUUUCCUUUUUCUAACCUUUGUCUAACGUCAGAGCUGCCAGCAGUCCCUGUAUAAGCAUGGGUAAAAGAGUAAAGAAUCAUCACUCCUGAUACUGGUGAGCCACUGAACCAACACCGGCCACUGACUACCUCCAGAUUUCUUUUUAUAACUGCCAUUCUUUGAGCUGGAAAAUUGCCUUUUACUUGGGGCAUACAAUAUGUAAUGAUCACAUCAGGGUAAUUGGGGUAUCCAUCACCUCAAGGAUUGAUCAUUUCAUUAGUUGGAAACUAUGCAAACUGUUGGAAAAAACUGGAAUUGACUGGCUGUGUUUGGUUUGGACAACUCAUCGAAAUGAGAGGGAGCCCAGCACGAGUUCUGCUUGAGUGAUGUCUGAAAAUCUGGCCUCUCAGUCUACCUUAAAAGCCUACCUAUUUGGCUUUCACUAGAGUUCAGAUACAUAAAACAAAUAUCUUUGCUUUGGCUUCCCUUGAGUCAUAUCAAUCUACACCUCAUCAAGAAUAUGAAGUUUGGAAGAACAAAGAAGCAAUUGAGCAUCCUAAACUCAACGUAGGGCAAGUAACAUGGACAUUGAUACACCAAGUUCCUUCUUGUUUUUCCUUGAAAGUUGGCUUGAUGAAUGUAUUCUGCAGGGAUUUUAAAGGUGUGGAAAUGAAGCAGACAUCAAGGACUGCUGCAGUUUACUGGGGGUCCACUCCAGACCUUAGUUGCUUCAGUUUUUCCCUGUACCUGGAGGUAUCGUCAGUGAAGCCUGCAAAACAGCAAAGAUGGCAGCCUGCUCCUUCCUCUGGAAGCUCCAUCCCAGGGAUGCACUGACCUGUUGCCAGAAGGAACAUGCCUGUAGGAGGUGGCUGGAGACCCCUGCUGGGAGGUCCCACCCACUCGGGAGGAAUGGGAUCAGGGACCCACCCCAAGAAGCCCUCUGGCUGCCCUUUGGUAGAGUAGGUGCCAGGAGACCCUUCCUUGCCUGGACCAUUUGUAUUUUCCAAAGUUGGCAGGCUGGAAUGGCUGAGUUUACCAAACUGCAGAGAUGACAGCUGCUCUUCCCCUGUGAGCUUCAUUCCAGGGAGAGAUCAGAACUUUGUCUGUAGAACCCUUGCUUGUGUGGCUGAAGCCCCUGCAGGGAGGACUUGCCCAGUGAAGAGGAAUAGAUUGAGGUACCGCUUAAAGAAGCAGUCUGGCCAUGAUCUGGCAAGGCAGCUGUGCUGUGCUGCAGGGAACCUCUCCUUGCUCGAACUUCUUGUAUUCUUCAAAGCUAGCAGGCUGAAACCAAUAAAUUUAAAUUUAAAUAGGUAAAAAUAAGUAAAUAAAGAUAAAGAAAAAUAAAUUGACUGAUUUAUUCUGCCUUCAGGAGCUCUUAGAUGAUGUAGGAAAACAAAUAAUACUGUACAAUCAAAGUCGAAAUUCCUUAAGCAGAGGGUCUUAUGAGAACACAAAGGGAAGGCAACUGGAGCUUUACAGAUGACUUCCUAGACUAGAGAUACCUGAUGUGGGUCUUUAGGGUUAAGUCAUUAAUAGCAAGGCCAAGUAGAGGAAGAGCAUAUCCUACAGAGAAAAAAAGAAUAAGCAAAGGCUGGCUGUUGAGAGAAUUGCAAGUGCUUAGUAUGACUAUAGCGGUAGUCUCAACAGGAGCAGGACAUCCUUAGGGGAUGUUUUGAAAAAUUUUUGUGGAAUUUUCUUGGUCCCAGUAAUUAGUAAGCACUAUUAGCCUUAAAAUGAUAAAGGGCCACUGAGCUAGAUGUUCUGCAAUGGGCAAGACAAUUGCACACAAUGAAAAAUUGUCCCAAGUUCAAGUUUGGACAAGUUAGGGAUGUCCCUCCAGGCAUUUUUGUCAAUGAAAAACCUCUUUGUAACUGUCUUGGCAUAGAGCCUAACUCCAUAUAUACAUAUAACACAAAAUAUUUUUGCACAGUUUUAAUAUACACUAAAUUUUCCAGGGACACAAUUACAUAAAUUAAGGAAAGAUCAUGCUUUGCUGUGUUUGGAACUUAUCAAGAGUCAUUCACCAUUCUAGAAAAUAGCAUCAAAGAUGCAAUAUAGCUCUUGGUGUCUGAGUUGCCAGUUCAGCCAUCUGUGUCAAUCUGUAUUUGUAGAUAUUGCAGUCAAGGUGAUAUUAUUUUUAAGCAAAAGUGUCUGACAACUUUAUUAAGUUCCCCAAUGUAGCUGUGCCAUAGCAUUUUAGAUUAUUUUAAAUUGUAUAUUACUUUCCUUUUAUUUUUCCUCUAAUGAUAGAUACUUAGGGCAUUUUUUUUAAAAACCCAAUGAGAAGACAGGUUAUUUUAUCUAUGAGUUUCAUUUCAGGAUAGUAAAAGUGUAUUACAAAAUGCUGGUUGUAACAACGGGGACAUUAGGUUGCAAAGGACAGAAUGGGCUGGUAUGUCAGUAGCAUCUCUUUCCCCAAAGACCUCAGUUGUGACAUGUGAAACUCUAAUUGCUAUGUGAUGUUUCCAGUUGUAAGGGCCUGAUUAUGGUUUAAUGCUUGCUGGAAAAAUAAAUGAGCAAAAUCAAGUUAGGAGACCACUUAUUUUUCCCUGCAUGAAACAUUUUAAUGUGACUUUACACUUAUAUUUCCCUGGCUAUUUUGGCAACAUAAAAGGCCCAGUCUAUAUCAAGGCCCAAGUGAAUAAAUUCAAGAGCUGUUUUUAUCUUAACUUUUCUAACUAGUCCUUUGGCACCAUUCAGAGACGGUAAUGAUAAUAGCAAUGAUAUUAAUGAACUAGCAUUUAGUAAGCACCUACUACAUGCUAAAGACUGGGCAAAGUAUUUUCCAUAGCAAAUCUCCUAGCCUUACAAUUAACAUGUAAAGGUAAACACUUUUAUCACUACUUUAUUUAUGAACAAAAGGAAUCAAGUGACACUCCUGAGGCCACAACAGCGUUAAGUGGUAGAGGAAGGAUCCAAGGCCAAAUGUACUUGGAUCCUCUUUCUAUGACACCAAACUUCGCGUAUGUAAAAAUAGUGUUCUUUUCUGGGUUUCUGUGAUUUCACACAUUCUAGGCAGGUAAGAUUUUAAAUGGACAAACUGCAGCACAUGGGUGAAAUCUGUUACCACUUGAAACUGUGGUAGAAAAAUAGCUAAGAAGCAUACAAUUUAGUAUUCAUUGGCUACUAUAUGGCAUCAUGACAAAAUGGCAAGAUCAUAGGCCUCUCCAUGAAUUAUAAUGAAAGCAGAUAAGAUAUGAACAUACUGAUGUUUGAUUGCUUCAAAUUUGGAAUUACUUGAAUAGAUGUUUUGGGUUUAACUCUGACAUCACCCAACAUUCAUUGAAACAUGGGGUGCGAUUAUGACGUAUUAAAGGAAGAAUUAGUACCUGAUCAUAUUGUCCUUGGGAAGAAAUUACUUUUAUUUCUAGUCUCUCUUUUUAAAAAAUAAAGGAAGGAGACAAGAUAUUGAAAUGUGCACUUCAAGAUAUUGAAGUGAGGGAUUUCCUUAUGGCAAAGACAAGUGACUUAUCCCAUUGUUGUCACUGUGGUAAAUGAAUACCUCUUAUCAAAAACACUUAGAAUAAAGAUUUUAAGUAAGUUAUGAAAAAAAUUGUUAGAGCUGAACAAGUUGCACUUUAAAUUUGCUUUACUAUACAGAAUUUAAGUACCUGUUGAGAUUUUACACUGAUUCAUAUUAUUUCCCUUCUCCCCACCCCCAUUCAUCUUUGUCAUCAUCACCACAACCCACAUGUGGAGAUUAUUGAGUAGACAAAUGGUUGACUUCAGAACCAGAGAAACUUAGAUUGACAUUCUGGGUCUGGAUGGGAGACCUGGAGCAAGCUUCUUUUCUUCCAUUUGCUGCAUUUUUUCUGGAAAGUGAGAAUAAUUCCAUGUGUAAGCAGAACUGUGCCUGGCACAUGGCAUGUGCUCAAUAAAUGGCAGCUAUCACUGAAUGUGGUAAAUACCAAGGAGAAGAAGGGGUAUAAGCCAUGGUCCCUGGGCUCAAACAACUUAAAAUUUAUUUGGGAUAAAAGGACUCAUACAUAAAAGAUAAAUGCUAAUAGAUCACAGACUACACUAAUUGCAUAAUGAAUCAGACAGACAAUAAAUACUGAAGGCGUUCCCACAGGCAGGAUCAGUCAGGCAGGGCUCCAUGGAGAAACAGGGUCUGGCAGUGGGACUCAAGCAUGGUCAGGAAAAGCAGAAAGGUGUUCCUAGCAACCGGGCUGGCACCCAGGGGCCAAACAGGCACAGCAGGCCAGCACCAAUACUUUUAGGCAUCCACAAACAUCUUUUGUUAUUUCUCUCACAGAAGAAAAACAAUGACACUAAUAAUAAUGAAUAUGUAGUAAUCAACCCAGCCUGUAUUAGAUUUGCCUUUAUACUAACACAGCUGUAAAGAAUAAUUUUUGUAUUUUUUUUAAUGGCAGAAGGGGCCCAUGAAGGCAGAUGUUUCUGGGGUCCGCCUAAG
rnacentral:lncRNA from 1 species